AGUGAACGCUGGCGGUAGGCCUAACACAUGCAAGUCGAACGGCAGCACAGUAAGAGCUUGCUCUUACGGGUGGCGAGUGGCGGACGGGUGAGGAAUACAUCGGAAUCUACUUUUUCGUGGGGGAUAACGUAGGGAAACUUACGCUAAUACCGCAUACGACCUACGGGUGAAAGCAGGGGAUCUUCGGACCUUGCGCGAUUGAAUGAGCCGAUGUCGGAUUAGCUAGUUGGCGGGGUAAAGGCCCACCAAGGCGACGAUCCGUAGCUGGUCUGAGAGGAUGAUCAGCCACACUGGAACUGAGACACGGUCCAGACUCCUACGGGAGGCAGCAGUGGGGAAUAUUGGACAAUGGGCGCAAGACUGAUCCAGCCAUACCGCGUGGGUGAAGAAGGCCUUCGGGUCGUAAAGCCCUUUUGUUGGGAAAGAAAAGCAGCAGGUUAAUACCCCGCUGUUCUGACGGUACCCAAAGAAUAAGCACCGGCUAACUUCGUG
rnacentral:rRNA from 1 species